AAAUCGAUUCCAAAUAGUAAAUGCAAAAAAGAAAUAUAAAAUCCCAGCCUUUUAAGAAUUUGAGUCCAAGCUG
rnacentral:sRNA from 14 species